rnacentral:rRNA from 1 species
GACGAACGCUGGCGGCGUGCUUAACACAUGCAAGUCGAACGAAGAGCGACGGAAGCUUGCUUCUAUCAAUCUUAGUGGCGAACGGGUGAGUAACGCGUAAUCAACCUGCCCUUCCGAGGGGGACAACAGUUGGAAACGACUGCUAAUACCACAUACGCUCUAAUCUCGGCAUCGAGGAUGGAUGAAAGGUGGCCUCUCCAUGUAAGCUGUCACUGCAGGAGGGGAUUGCGUCUGAUUAGCUAGUUGGCGGGGUAACGGCCCACCAAGGCGAUGAUCAGUAGCCGGUCUGAGAGGAUGAACGGCCACAUUGGGACUGAGACACGGCCCAGACUCCUACGGGAGGCAGCAGUGGGGAAUCUUCCGCAAUGGACGAAAGUCUGACGGAGCAACGCCGCGUGAGUGAUGACGGCCUUCGGGUUGUAAAGCUCUGUUAAUCGGGACGAAAGGCCUUCUUGCGAAUAGUGAGAAGGAUUGACGGUACCGGAAGAGAAAGCCACGGCUAACUACGUG